GAUGAACGCUAGCUACAGGCUUAACACAUGUAAGUCGCGGGGCAGCAUGGGGGUUGCUUGCAAUCCCCGAUGGCGACCGGCGCACGGGUGAGUAACGCGUAUCCAACCUGCCCUUCACCACGGGAUAACCCGGCGAAAGUCGGACUAAUACCGUAUGUUGUCCAUUGACGGCAUCCGAUUUGGACGCAAGUUUUGGCGUUGAAGGAUGGGGAUGCGUUCGAUUAGCUGGACGGCGGGGUGACGGCCCACCGUGGCGACGAUCGGGAGCCGUUCUGAGAGGGAGAGCGGCCACACUGAGACUGGAACAGGGCCCAGGCUCCGACUGGAGGCAGCAGUAGGGGAGCGUCGGAAAGAGACGGAAGUCUGACCGAGCAACGCCGCGGGAGUGAAGAAGGUGUUCGGAUCGUAAAGCUUAGUUGUAAGAGAAGAACGAGUGUGAGGGUGGAAAGGUCACUCUUUGACGGUAUCUUACCAGAAAGGGACGGCUAACUACGUG
rnacentral:rRNA from 1 species